rnacentral:rRNA from 1 species
UUGGCGGACGGGUGAGUAACGCGUGGGUAACCUGCCUUGCACUGGGGGAUAACACUUAGAAAUAGGUGCUAAUACCGCAUAAGCGCACGGUCCUGCAUGGGACAGUGUGAAAAACUCCGGUGGUGCAAGAUGGACCCGCGUCUGAUUAGCUGGUUGGCGGGGUAAAGGCCCACCAAGGCGACGAUCAGUAGCCGGCCUGAGAGGGUGGACGGCCACAUUGGGACUGAGACACGGCCCAAACUCCUACGGAAGGCAGCAG